rfam:Oryza glumipatula chromosome 1, whole genome shotgun sequence.
AAUAAGUGUAGUUUUGCACUAUUCAUGUUCAACGUUUGACCGUUCGUCUUAUUUGAAAUUUUUUUAUGAUUAGUAUUUUUAUUGCUAUUAGAUGAUAAACAUGAAUAGUACUUUAUGUGUGACUAAAUAUUUUCAAAUUUUUCACAAUUUUUUCAAAUAAGACAGACGGUCAAAUGUUGGGCACGGAUAUGCACGGCUGCACUUAUU